GAUGAACGCUGGCGGCGUGCCUAAUACAUGCAAGUCGAGCGAACAGAUGAGGAGCUUGCUCCUCUGACGUUAGCGGCGGACGGGUGAGUAACACGUGGAUAACCUUCCUAUAUGACUGGGAUAACUUCGGGAAACCGGAGCUAAUAACGGAUCAUAUAUUGAACCGCAUGGUUCAAUAGUGACAGACGGUUUUGCUGUCACUUAUAGAUGGAUCCGCGCCGCAUUAGCUAGUUGGUAAGGUAACGGCUUACCAAGGCAACGAUGCGUAGCCGACCUGAGAGGGUGAUCGGCCACACUGGAACUGAGACACGGUCCAGACUCCUACGGGAGGCAGCAGUAGGGAAUCUUCGGCAAUGGGCGAAAGCCUGACGGAGCGACGCCGCGUGAGUGAUGAAGGUCUUCGGAUCGUAAAACUCUGUUAUUAGGGAAGAACAAAUGUGUAAGUAACUAUGCACGUCUUGACGGUACCUAAUCAGAAAGCCACGGCUAACUACGUG
rnacentral:rRNA from 1 species